AAGUGGCGCACGGGUGAGUAACACGUGGGAACCUACCCUUUGGUUGGGAAUAACCGCGGGAAACUGCGGCUAAUACCGAAUAAGCCCUACGGGGGAAAGAUUUAUCGCCGAAGGAUGGGCCCGCGCCGGAUUAGCCUGUUGGUAGGGUAACGGCCUACCAAGGCUACGAUCUGUAGCUGGUCUGAGAGGAUGGUCAGCCACACUGGGACUGAGACACGGCCCAGACUCCUACGGGAGGCAGCAGUGGGGAAUAUUGGACAAUGGGCGCAAGCCUGAUCCAGCCAUGCCGCGUGAGUGAAGAAGGCCCUAGGGUUGUAAAGCUCUUUCACCGGGGAAGAUAAUGACGGUACCCGGAAAAGAAGCCCCGGCUAACUCCGUGCCAGCAGCCGCGGUAAUACGGAGGGGGCUAGCGUUGUUCGGAAUUACUGGGCGUAAAGCGCACGUAGGCGGCGUGUAUAGUUAGGGGUGAAAGGCCUGGGCUCAACCUGGGAACUGCCUCUAAUACUGACACGCUAGAAUUCGGGAGAGGGUAGCGGAAUUCCAAGUGUAGAGGUGAAAUUCGUAGAUAUUUGGAAGAACACCGGUGGCGAAGGCGGCUACCUGGACCGAUAUUGACGCUGAGGUGCGAAAGCGUGGGGAGCGAACAGGAUUAGAUACCCUGGUAGUCCACGCCGUAAACGAUGAGUGCUAGUUGUCGGGGGGGUUGCCCU
rnacentral:rRNA from 1 species